GAAUGGAAGCUUGUUUUGUGCAACAGGGAGGGUCAAUUGAAUGCAAAAGCUACCCAGUACACAUUAAGUUGGACGUUGGUUGCAAUGCUCUCGUUAAGUUUUUGUCACACACUGUCACUACAUGACCGAUAAUGUAUCGUGUGUAGUCAUUUAUGUAGUAAUUUAAAUGCUUCUUAGUGCUUUUGGUAUGUGUCAAGUAAAAUAAUUGGCGGCAGCCUAUUAGAAGACUUGGAGGCGUGGCUUGUUGGGAGUGUAGUCUCCGAUGAGACGGUUUGUCAUGCCAGUUAAUGUGUUGAAUUGUGUUCUGUAAAGGUUAAACUGCUGGGAAGUCGCAAGAUGAAGGGCUAUACCUGAAUGGUUGUCGGAUUUGGGAACCCAUUGCAGUGGGUAGGAAAAAAAGGAAUAAAGUGGAACGUAUUAAGAGUAAAUAGAGUGCUGGACAAUGAAAUUGAACAUGACGAAAUUGAGGAUUAAUUGACUGCGUUGGCAGGUGUCGGGAAGACCGCCGAGUUUGAGCCUCGUCCGAUGAGGAUAAUUUGGUUUUUUGCUAAGUAUGAGAGUUGGAGAGAAUGUGUCCUUGACUUCUGGCUGAUCCACAUAUGGUUUCGGGUUGAGUGGAGAAGAGGUUGGAGAAUGUUGGGUCGGUGAAAGUGACUCGAAGUGGAAUCAUGUGGAUUUUUUUUUUGCGUUUCUGCCAUCCAGAAGGACAAGAACUGAGACUUGCUUUCCUCUCCAUUGCAGGGCGCCGUUGAAAGGAGUGAUAACUGGAGUUGAAGAUUCCUGGUGUCUGUGACACCUGCCGUUUGGUGCGAUGCAGACCCGGUGGAGAGCGUGGUGAAACAGAGAAGACACUCUGUAAUACUGAGUUUUGAUGCAGAGUUUUUACCAGUUAUGGUCAUGUGGCAGAUGUCUAGUUAACUAUGUGUAUGACACCACCUACUGGUGCUGAGUACUUGCUGACACUACCUACAGCAGAUUAUGAAACAAGGAAACCAUUCAGCUGGGGGAAGAUCUUCCACCACCACACCACUAACACACAAACAGAUUUACUUCCUAACCUUAUGUCCUCAAACUCAGGUCUGGAAACUGAGGCCAUCUCUGUAAGGAACUCACUGUUGGUCCAUGUGAGAGUGAGGUGG